rnacentral:rRNA from 1 species
ACGAACGCUGGCGGCGUGCCUAAUACAUGCAAGUCGAGCGGAAUGAUGAAGAAGCUUGCUUCUUCUGAUUUUAGCGGCGGACGGGUGAGUAACACGUGGGCAACCUACCUUGUAGAUUGGGAUAACUCCGGGAAACCGGGGCUAAUACCGAAUAAUCCAUUUUGCUUCAUGGCGAGAUGUUGAAAGACGGUUUCGGCUGUCACUACAAGAUGGGCCCGCGGCGCAUUAGCUAGUUGGUAGGGGUAAUGGCCUACCAAGGCGACGAUGCGUAGCCGACCUGAGAGGGUGAUCGGCCACACUGGGACUGAGACACGGCCCAGACUCCUACGGGAGGCAGCAGUAGGGAAUCUUCCACAAUGGACGAAAGUCUGAUGGAGCAACGCCGCGUGAGUGAAGAAGGUUUUCGGAUCGUAAAACUCUGUUGUAAGGGAAGAACACGUACGAGAGUAACUGCUCGUACCUUGACGGUACCUUAUUAGAAAGCCACGGCUAACUACGUG